AUUGUGUGCUGCUGCUCACCCAUUUCUGCAACUGAGCGUUGCUGUGAGCGUAUCAAUCUCUCGUAGAAGAAGCACUCCCUCGUGAUUGCGCUUCUAUUGAGCUUUACACAUUCUAAAUUUUAUUUAUAAAGCUUCCUUAAGCUUUGCAAGAGCAAGAGCUGCUCAUCUCCUAGCUAGUUGUGACUCUUUCUUUGCUGGUGAGUCUCUUGGUGGAGAUUUUUGGUGAAUUCUUAACUGUUACGUACUAC
rnacentral:misc_RNA from 1 species